rnacentral:lncRNA from 1 species
GCGGCAGCCACCUGCGGCGCGGGUACCCUCAGCUCCGAAUGUGUGGCUUCCGAGGCGGGCCAGAGCCGCACCUCUAGCUUCCAGAGGAGAGGCAAGGCUUCUGGGGCCCCCGGAGGGGGUCCCCGGCUGCUGUCCAUCGCAGGCACGCGACCGUCGGUGCGGAAUGGACAACUGCUGGUGUCAACCGGGCUCCCAGCCCUGGACCAGCUUUUAGGUGGAGGUUUAGCUGUUGGAACACUUCUUCUGAUCGGUUAGUAUAAAAUACAU